UCUCAGCAGCAAGUGCAGCAGAGCCCCUGGGGACCCCGCAGAUUUGAGGAAGGCUGUGGAGCAUCGCAGUUCCUAAACCUUAGCCACCUCUGGAAACAGCCGAAAAUGCCACCUUGCCUUUUCCGCGUUAAAGAAAACAGUCCUUUAAAGAAAGGACUGUGUGUAGAGUGAGACAGAAGCACUCCCAUGCUGAGAUCUGGAGGAGAAUGCCCCCGGACGCCUCACUCGGCGUUGGCACGCGGACACCAGCACCCUCCGAAAGCUGAACCGCGGCUCCAGGUCUCCAGACCCCCUCCCGAGGGACGAGUGCGGGGGUGGUCGGAGGAAGGGCUCCAGAAAGUUCAUUGGCCAACUUGUUCCACGCAGGGGACCCGCUUCGCACAAGAGCGACAGGACCGAGGACAGCGCCAAUCGGCGCGCUGGGGCGGGGGAGGCGGACAGCGCCGGAGCCGCGAGCCGGGAGAGGGGCGGUCAGCUGACGUCUGACGUCGGGCUGGAUCCCCACUUUGAUCAGGCAGGUCCGGGGGGCGCGCCGGCGUUCGCUCUCUGAGCCGCCGCCCCAGACGCGGUGGGCACGGGACAGGGGCAGGGCAGAAGGCAGUUCCCAGGGAGCAGGC
rnacentral:lncRNA from 1 species